CGGAGACUUCUAUUGAUGUCUCUGGACUAGCGCCCUGAUGGGCACCAAUAAUCACCAGCCCUACCUCUGCCUUCUUACUGAGGGUUAAACAUGCCCAUCAUCUAACAGUCGUGCUGUGGAAGAAACCUUGGCCCUGCCUUCCUCACAUGUGGUUUUAGAAGCCAGAGGCCACGCUGCACUCAGUUGCAAAGACUGAUGAAAGGAUGUUGGCUGGAAGCUGCUUGGAAGGGAAGCAAACCUGAGAGCACUUAGAUGAUCAUUGCAACCCAGACAGCAAGACAGUGGCAAAGGCCAAGAUGAG
rnacentral:lncRNA from 1 species